AGAGAGUGCAAGAGAACGUGAAACCGGUGUAAUGGAAGCAGAUGGAGUUGACGUAUCUGGUGCGUAUUCAGUUGUUGGUUGUGGCGAUUGCUGCGCUUGUUAUUCCGCAAGGUUGACGGUGUAGUAUUGUCGUUGCUGCUUGCGAUGCAUUUACGUACGGAGUGGGCCGAGUUGUGCGGUGGUGUCAAUCGAAGCGUUUCGAGAGGACAUGGCUUCGGUCGUGAAACCUUGGCUCGUGGAGGUUGGUUGCUGCUGCAUAAUUUUGUGGAGACACGGGUUUUUCGCGGGCUUGGGCAUCGAUUUGGUUUGUUCGUGUUGGAUGUAUGCGUCUAAGAACUUCUASACGCAUUUCACGCUUAUGGGCUAGGUCGGUGUUCAAGUUUGCUCUGUGCUCUUCUCGGUCUAUAGUCAAUGACCCAUUUGACCCGUCUUGAAACACGGACCAAGGAGUUUAUGGUAUACGCGAGUCAUUGGGCUUUCAAACUCAAAGGCGUAAUGAAAGUGAGAUAUUAUUGGUUUUAAUGUGAUCGGUUGCUGUUUCGAUGGCGGCCGAGCAACAUUGCCCCGUUUCGAGAACUUGUUCUGUUGCGGAGGUUGAGCGUAUGCUAUGAGACCCGAAAGAUGGUGAACUAUGCCUGAACAGGAUGAAGCCAGAGGAAACUCUGGUGAAGUCCGAAGCGGUUCUGACGUGCAAAUCGAUCGUCUGAUUUUGGUAUAGGGCGCAG
rnacentral:rRNA from 1 species